GAUGAACGCUAGCGGCAGGCUUAACACAUGCAAGUCGAGGGGUAACAGAGGUAGCUUGCUACUUGCUGACGACCGGCGCACGGGUGCGUAACGCGUAUAGAACCUACCUUUUACAGAGGGAUAGCCCAGAGAAAUUUGGAUUAAUACCUCAUGGCAUUAUGAAUUGGCAUCAGUUUAUAAUUAAACAUUUAUGGGUAAAAGAUGGCUAUGCGUUCUAUUAGUUAGUUGGUAAGGUAACGGCUUACCAAGACAUCGAUAGAUAGGGGUCCUGAGAGGGAGAUCCCCCACACUGGUACUGAGACACGGACCAG
rnacentral:rRNA from 1 species